ACUAGCCUUAGCGAGGCCAUGGGGGAAAAAGUCUAACUGGCGGAACUCCUGGGAACUGGGGCGAUGGGCUCUUAGUAUCGGAGGAUUGGAGCCAUCUGAUUUUUACCUGAAAUUCCUUAGUCUCUCCUGUGUUGGGGAAAUGGUCACCUUGCCUUCAGGGACCUGGGCUUUCAGCUGUCCAUACCUGGCCCUGGUUGAUGGCGGCAUGCUGGGCAGUGCACGUGAAGACGCACAUGAGACCGGGACUUGCUGUGUUGCCCAGGCUGGUCUUGAACUCCUGGUCUUAAGCAAUCAUACUGCUUUGGCCACCCAAAGCACUGGGAUUACAGGCGUGAACCACCACACCCAGCUCUUAAAACCACAGUAUUUCUAGAUUAAUAAGUACCUUGAAGAUGGGGUGCAGUCCUGGGAGGCACCGCAUGGUGGCGACAGCGAUGACCUCAGCCACCAGGUGAGUGUUCAGCAAGUGAUACUGGAUCUCGUGCAGUUGGAAAUCUGAAUUUCGGACCCAGGACUUUGCCAGGAGCCAGGCAAGUGGGGGGUCUGAGGGCAGGAACAGUGUUGGGGUUGGAGAGCUGGGGUUGGGAGGCUGAAUCUGGGAGAAAGAGAAAUUAUUGAACUCCCAUUCCGUAUAUGACAUUAUAGUCAGCAUUCUUGGGGAAACAGAGAUGACUAAGUAAGAUUAUUGCCUUCUAGGAGGUUAUAGUCUAGCAGGAGGACUGUGAACCCUCCCAGCCUGCCGCUCGCUAGCUGGAGUGCCCUGAUGUCAGGUGGAAGGCAGGAGGGACUGGAAGAAGGGGGUCCAGAAGGAGGCCCUAACAGUGGUGUGGGAGAAACCUGCUGCUUUGGGGUCGGCGCUCAGAUGGUGGUGGAAUGUGAAGGAGAAGUAGGAGGUGUAAGAUUAUUGACAGUUCUUGUCACCUGACUGUUAAGAAUAGUGAGAGAAGGCCAGGUGCAGUGGCUCACACCUGUAAUCCCAGCACUUUGGGAGGCCGAGGCAGGCAGAUUACUUGAGCCCAGAAGUUCAAGACCAGCCUGGGCAAUAUGGCGAAACCCCAUCUCUACAAAAAAUACAAAAAUUAGCCAGGCCCACAUGGUGGCACAUGCCUGUGGUCCCAGCUACUGGAGGGACUGAGGUGGGAGAAUUGCUUGAACCCAGGAGGCGCAGGUUGCAGUGAGCCAAGAUCACACAACUGUAUUCCAGCCUGAGUGACACAGUGAGAUUCUGUCUCAAAAAAAAAAAAGAAAUUGCGAGAAAAGAUAUUCAAGAGAUGGCGAGGGUUCAGAGCCAGAGGCCACUGAGAGAUGAGAUAGUGAUUCUGAAAGUGUAGUCCUGAACUGGUAGUGUCAGCAUCACUUUGGAACUUAUAAAAACGCAAACUCUUAGUUCCCACCCCAGACAUACUGAAUCAGAAAGUCUGGUCAUGGGAUCCAGAAAUCUGCAUUUCAACAGGCAUUCAGGUGAUUCUGAUGCACACUGAAGUGUGAGGACCAUUGGAUACAGGAUGAGAACUCCAGGAGGCCAUUUUGACUCUUGAAAAAGUAAUUCUAGUUGGAUGAGGCAGGGGAGACGAGGGUACAGGCAAAUAGUGACAUGAAGACAAGUCUCACUGAGUGAGGAUGGGGUUUGGGAGCCAAGAGCUGGGGGUUGGGUCCCUGGGAGCAGAGGUUGAGGUGAACAGAGUGCAACGUUGUGGGAGAGGUCUGGGGCCCUUACCUGGAUGACCAUGGGCUGCAGCUUCCCAUUGGGCUCCAUCUUCAGCAUAACGAGGGGGGCAGCCAGGUAUUGCUUCUCUCCUCGGAUCACGUUGGCUGGAAUUCCAUCCAGAAGGAUGAAGUCAGCUUCAAACAGGGAACCAUUCUGGGGACAGGAGGGAUCCCCGCAGCAGUUCCCGAGACCUUGUGCCUCCUUCCCCGACGCCGCCUGCUCACCGGUGCCCUCGGGCAGGCUCAGGAUGUCCUCGCCCUGCACCCAGCGGUAGCACGGGAAGGCCACCUCCGCGCAGGCUCCAGGGCCCUGCACCGUGAUGCGGUCGCAGAACCACGCGUCGUCCACCAGCCAGUGGUGCUUGCGCAGCCUCACGAACUGCAGGAGCCCCAAGUCCUCUGCAACGUCAUGAUCAAACUCCUCCUCCUGUGCAGGCCGGACCCAGGCCAGACUUAGUAGGAGGGACCCGACUGAGGCCGUUUCGAGGACAGAGCCGCGCUCCUGUGCAACCUCAGUUUCUCAGGGCCUCCAAAGACAGCAUCGCCUCGUUCCCGCCCCCGCACAACCUGCUCUUUGGGUCUCAGACGCCCGGAGUCGGGUGGAGGACGAGGGCCCGCAGCGCCUGGAGCUGAUGCUGGAGCAGCAUCGCCCACGUGGGUCCCAUUAACUGAGCUCUCCCCGCGCCGGUUCUUGGAGGAGCUUCACGUCUGACCUCUGGCCUCAUACUUACAUUGGCUCUGGGUCACUGGGAGAAGGAGCUGGGGGCUGCCGGGACCAGGGGCGGGAAAGGGAGAUGGGGUUGAGCCCAGC
rnacentral:lncRNA from 1 species